GAUGAACGCUGGCGGCGUGCCUAAUACAUGCAAGUCGAGCGAACAGACGAGGAGCUUGCUCCUCUGACGUUAGCGGCGGACGGGUGAGUAACACGUGGAUAACCUACCUAUAAGACUGGGAUAACUUCGGGAAACCGGAGCUAAUACCGGAUAAUAUAUUGAACCGCAUGGUUCAAUAGUGAAAGACGGUUUUGCUGUCACUUAUAGAUGGAUCCGCGCCGCAUUAGCUAGUUGGUAAGGUAACGGCUUACCAAGGCAACGAUGCGUAGCCGACCUGAGAGGGUGAUCGGCCACACUGGAAGUGAGACACGGUCCAGACUCCUACGGGAGGCAGCAGUAGGGAAUCUUCCGCAAUGGGCGAAAGCCUGACGGAGCAACGCCGCGUGAGUGAUGAAGGUCUUCGGAUCGUAAAACUCUGUUAUUAGGGAAGAAAAAAUGUGUAAGUAACUAUGCACGUAUUGACGGUACCUAAUCAGAAAGCCACGGCUAACUACGUG
rnacentral:rRNA from 1 species